AGGAAGCGCCUGGCGGGGUUUGUGCCGGCCCGGCCUCACGGAGCGUGUCCUGGGGUCGGUGUUGCGCAGUAGUGCCGCAGUGGCCGUGACUGAGGGAGCAGCGCUGAUACCUGUCAGGUGUCAUGCGAUUUCAUUAAAUGACGUUCAGAGAGGAUAAUAUGCAAAGAAUACUGCCUGAGGAAGAAGCUGUCUCUGUUGCUUAGUGUUUUGUACUGCCCCUUUGAUGAAAAACAAAAGGAAAAGAGGAUAUUUAAAAAAAAAAGUGAAUGAGAAAGUGCUUCUAACUUUAGGAGGGGCAGGGGGGAUAGACAGACCUCCAAGGCACACCCUAGGAUUUCUUCCUGGUGGGGCUCCGCUCGUCUCAACUUGCCACCUGCGAGGACAGACAAGCACCUGCUGGCCUGCGGAGGAAGAUACGGACUAAGAGAUGCCUUCUUUUGCCUCCCUAUCCACGAAGCCAGCCAGGAAAUUUUUGCAUUCAAACUCAAGCUCACAUAGUCCAUGUGCCUGAAGGCUUCAAGAUUCCCCACUCCGAUUGGAGAACAGCUUGCAAAGACCCAGAGUCCUGGGAAGCUCCACAAGAGGAAAGGAGGCUGUUGCAGUUGGUGGACGAUCUUCUAGUAGCCACUCAAAUGAGGGAAGCGAGAGAAGCCUGGACGGUAAGCCUUUUGAAUUUCCUAGGACUCCAAGGACGCAGAGUCUCAAAGAAAAGGCACAGGUAGUGAAACAGAAGGUAAUCUACCUGGGGUAAGAAGUGAGUGCGGAGCAGCAGACUUUAAAGCAAAGACCUAGAGACCACCGAAGCUACCUACUCCCGCCGCCCAGACUUAAGGGACGCUCCUCCGGACGAUGCAGAGACCUGGUUCACUGACAGGAAAGCGACAUUGCAAAGUUCACAGUGACUACCUGCAGAGAGGUAAUCGAGUCUGGACCCUUACCAACAGGUACCUCUGUGCAGAAGGCUGAGAUAAUUGCCCUGCCCCGUGCCCUGGAAAGGGCAAAAGGGAGGAGAAUAACCAUCUACACAGACCCAAGGAAUGCAUUUGGAGUCAUACAUGCACAUGGAGCCAUCUGGAAAGAGAGGGGACUGCUGACCUCACAGAGAAAGAAGAGACAAUCCAGCUGCUGGAAGCAGUUCAGCUACUUGAAAAGGCAUAUUAAGGCACACUAGAGAGUGAGCUUAAAAUUGGAGGAAAGAAAUGAGCUGGCGGAUGGAGAGACAAAAAAAGCAGCAAAG